AGAGUUUGAUCCUGGCUCAGAGUGAACGCUGGCGGCAGGCCUAAUACAUGCAAGUCGAACGGCAGCACAGCAGAGCUUGCUCUGUGGGUGGCGAGUGGCGGACGGGUGAGGAAUACAUGGGAAUCUGCCCAGUCGUGGGGGAUAACGUAGGGAAACUUACGCUAAUACCGCAUGCGCCCUUCGGGGGAAAGCCGGGGACCUUCGGGCCUGGCGCGAUUGGAUGAGCCCAUGUCGGAUUAGCUAGUUGGCGGGGUAACGGCCCACCAAGGCGACGAUCCGUAGCUGGUCUGAGAGGAUGAUCAGCCACACUGGAACUGAGACACGGUCCAGACUCCUACGGGAGGCAGCAGUAGGGAAUAUUGGACAAUGGGCGCAAGCCUGAUCCAGCCAUGCCGCGUGAGUGAAGAAGGCCUUCGGGUUGUAAAGCUCUUUUGUCCGGAAAGAAAAGCUUCGGGUUAAUACCCUGGAGUCCUGACGGUACCGGAAGAAUAAGCACCGGCUAACUUCGUGCCAGCAGCCGCGGUAAUACGAAGGGUGCAAGCGUUACUCGGAAUUACUGGGCGUAAAGCGUGCGUAGGUGGUUUGUUAAGUCUGAUGUGAAAGCCCUGGGCUCAACCUGGGAAUGGCAUUGGAUACUGGCAGGCUAGAGUGCGGUAGAGGGUAGUGGAAUUCCCGGUGUAGCAGUGAAAUGCGUAGAGAUCGGGAGGAACAUCUGUGGCGAAGGCGACUACCUGGACCAGCACUGACACUGAGGCACGAAAGCGUGGGGGAGCAAACAGGAUUAGAUACCCUGGUAGUCC
rnacentral:rRNA from 1 species